UUCCUUCAGUGCCUAUAGGGGUAACUAAUUGGCUGCCAAUUCAGAGUAAAGAGCCAUUUGGGAUGGAGGACAAAGAGGAUGAAGAAAUCAGAGUUGGGGAAAAGGAAGCUGGCCUUCUGUCUUGGUAUAAAAAAAGGAAGAAUUUCGUGAAUUAUGGGAAACCUCAGUGAGUCCUAGAUGUCUCGUAAUUUUUGGAUGGAAUAUACAUUUCAGAGUUCAUCAUUGGAAGCAGGCACAUAUAUUUACACUGUUCUGUUCACUCUAUAGCUGUGCCACCUUUGUUGCCAAAAUCAUUUGAAAAAAUUGAAUUUGAAAA